CUCGCAUUCAUUCAGUCGUCGUCCAACCACGAUGUGUGACACUUGGUUAAAAAGCAGCUUGUUUUAUAGCUUUGUAAGAUUAUAAUAUUCUUUAUUGAUUUAUUUAUUUAAUUUAUUUCUGCUUUUUUUUUUCUUCUGAUUUUGAUAUUUUGCCGUUUGCCUGUACAUUCGCAUAUGGACGUGUGAAAAAUUGUGAAAAAUUGUAGAAAACAAAGAAAGAAAAAGUGUAUAGACGGUGGUUUAAAAAAUUUUCGUGACCAAUUCGUAAAUGAAUAAAAAGGAUGAUACGGAAAAAAGAGACAUGAAUGAAAUGUCAACACACUAAUACAUCAUUAUAUUUACUAUAAAAGGUUCCCUUGACUGCAAUCGUUGUCAAUUGCACUUCGACCACGGUCUGGAACAAUACUACCUUAAGAAGAACGAGAAAAUAGAUUUGCUAUAACAGUUAUAAAAGAGAGACUUAUUUUUUUUAUAAUAUCAAUCAAUGAUAUCAAACUGUGAAAUAUUUGAUAUUUUUUUUAUAACAAGUUUUCUGACGAUAAGCCGUGAAUGUAUUCGUCAACGAGUGAUUAUGACAGCUCUAUAGUCAAUUGUAUUAUUAGAAAAAUUAAUAGAAAAAAAGUGUGUUAAUGUCGAACGAAAAUAGUGAUAUGGUAUGGUUCAAUUUUUUUUCUACAUACAUAAUGUACACUCAAUAAUCAUUUCUAUAAUCGUAUUAUAUUUUUUAUUUCAUUUGAAACUAAUUAAGUCUUUCAUGUAUCGAUGAAAAGUGAAAAAAAAAGAAAUAAAUGAAAAAAAAAAAUUAAAUAAAAAUAAAUUAAAAAAAAAUAACAAUAUCUAAGUUUUAAUGUUACGUUAAUUUUUUCUGUUUAGAUUCUGCUAAAAGUUACCAGCGACAGAGAUAUAUUUCUUAUUAGAAUAAAAGGAUUACAAUUUGGAUAACUUUUGGAGGAUAUGUUAGUUCUUAACGAAACUAAUUAAAGAAGAUCGAUCCUAAAUUACUGAUUAGAAGAAGGAAAUAGAAGCUUUCGUGUCAAAUAAUAUUUCGCUUCCCUUUUUUUAUUAUUCUUUUAUUUUUUUCUUCUUUUCUCUUUUUUUCUUUCUUUUUUUUUUUUUGUUUCCUCGAUACAAACACCAAAAAAAUGAAUGGUAACGAUCUUCUCUUUGCAUACUUAAUUAAGUAAAUCGCAUUUAAUCGUGAAUGCAACUCCUUCUUAUUGUUUGAUUAAUUAAUAUUAGUAAUAAUAAUAAUUACAUAAUAGAAUGGUGGUGAAAGAUUUUUUUCACUUCACUCAGAAUUGUAAAAGAUGAUAUUUAAUUUACAAGUAAGUACCGUACGCAAUAAGAACAACAACAAUAAAAAUAAUAAUAAUAAUAAUAA